GCUUAACCUGGGAACUGCAUUUGUGACUGCGAGACUAGAGUGUGGCAGAGGGGGGUAGAAUUCCACGUGUAGCAGUGAAAUGCGUAGAGAUGUGGAGGAAUACCGAUGGCGAAGGCAGCCCCCUGGGCCAACACUGGCGCUCAUGCACGAAAGCGUGGGGAGCAAACAGGAUUAGAUACCCUGGUAGUCCACGCCCUAAACGAUGUCAACUAGUUGUUGGGGAAGGAGACUUCCUUAGUAACGCAGCUAACGCGUGAAGUUGACCGCCUGGGGAGUACGGUCGCAAGAUUACAACUCAAAGGAAUUGACGGGGACCCGCACAAGCGGUGGAUUAUGUGGAUUAAUUCGAUGCAACGCGAAAAACCUUACCUACCCUUGACAUGCCAGGAACUUUCCAGAGAUGGAUUGGUGCCCGAAAGGGAACCUGGACACAGGUGCUGCAUGGCUGUCGUCCGCUCGUGUCGUGAGAUGUCGGGUUAAGUCCCGCAACGAGCGCAAACCUUGCCAUUAAUUGCCAUCAUUCAGUUGGGCACUCUUGAUGGGCCUGCCGGUGACUAUACCGGAGGAAGGUGGGGAUGACGUCAAGUCCUCAUGGCCCUUAUGGGUAGGGCUUCACACGUUAUACAAUGGUCGGUACAUGAGGUUUGCCAACCCGCGAGGGGGAGCUAAUCCCAGAUAGCCGAUCGUAGUCCGGAUUGUUCUCUGCAACUUCGAGAGCAUGAAGUCGGAAUCGCUAGUAAUCGCGGAUCAGCAUGUUCUCGGUGAAUACGUUCCCCGGGUCUUGUACACACCGCCCGUCACACCAUGGGAGUGG
rnacentral:rRNA from 1 species